rnacentral:lncRNA from 1 species
UGUUGGCCGGCUUGGCCAGCCCUUCUCAAGCGUUCAGACAGGAAUGUACAUAAAAUGGAGGCCUUGCUGGGACUGGCAGGAGUAAUGUCAUUUUCAGAAGCAGCAAAACGCUUCAGAGCCAGCAGUUAUUUGGGGGUUAGUGACUCAGGGGCAUAUGAAUGUGGGGAGCUGCCCUUUGCUUUAUAAAUUGUUUCCACACAACUUCAGAUAUUUCCUGGAAAACAAAUGUGAACAUAAACAUGAUGUAAACAUGUACGCGGAAAUGUAUACAUGGGGAGAAAGCAAGGCAGGCUGUGAGAGAUGCCUGGCGCCUGAAUUUCAAUCCCAGCUUUGCCACUUAAGCUGUGUGACCUUGAGUAAGACAUUGAACCUCUCUGAUCCCUUUGCUGGCCAGUAAAAUGGGGAUAACAGUUCUUACCUUGAGGAGCUACGGAGAGAACUGAAUGGAAUAUAGCUUGUGAAAUCAGUGCUAGUGGUUUUGUUAUUAUUAUUAUUGAUCAAGCACUGUCCCACACCCUGAGGUUAGAGAGAGUACCUCAGCUUGGCUCCUGCCCCCAUAGAGCUUCCGGUCUAGUGACUGGAGCUGGGUAAAGAGAAGAACGGAGGACUCCAGGGAGGCCACGGUUCUCCUAGAGCUGAGAGGAAGAGUGAAAGGAGAUCCGGCGGCGCCAUGGAGCCUGCGCAGUUCAACCCUGGGCCUCUCUUGCACCUGCGUCCAGCGCCCGCAACAAGCUCAAGACUCCGCGUCCGCUCGAUACAACCCAGACGCCGAGAUUCUUUCUUUUGCCUGCGAGCUCUGCGUCCGGACGUGGGGACAACGCACCCAGCCGUCGUGCGCUAGGGAUAUGUGCCUGUCUGCAGACGGAGCUGCGGGUUUACACCGGGUCUCGGCGCUCGCGCUGGACCUCGGGAGGGUGCUGGCCGCGGGGUCCCCCCCGCGCCGCCUAGCCUUUGCGGAGCUCCCUACCGCGGUCUCACGCCGCCAGCAUCAGUACCAGCACUGUCGCGCAGCCCGGGCCUUGGGCUCCUGGACGUCUGGCUUUAUGCGAAGAUAACCGGAGUUGGCGAGGCUUCGGCCUGAAAUUUCAUCCGGGCUGGGUCAGGUGUGCAGAUUCCUUCGUUUAGCACCGAACUUGGGCGGAACUCCCGUCCUCGCCAGGGGGGCCUCCUAGCACGGGGCGUGCCUGGCACCUCUUCCCGCCCGUCGCCUCUGCGUCCCCGGGCCCAGGAUUCUACGCUCCCUGAGAGGCCUCUGUGCGCAGCAUGGAUUCCAGACCCCCCAAGAGAAACAGGGGUUCCCUGGAGCCCCUCCACCGUUUGUCUCCUCUGUGUCCCUGGGAAAUGUAGCCGGCGUGUUUGGGCUGCCCGCCCCGUGAAAUGGGGGUAUCAAGGUCUGCCCGCUCUCUUCCGGAGAGGGGGAGGGAGGGAGGAGGAGCUGCGGGGUCCCCACCAUCGCACGCACGCCCCUGAGAGGGAAAGGUUGGUGGC